rnacentral:rRNA from 2 species
AGACCCGAAACCCGGUGAUCUAGCCAUGGGCAGGUUGAAGGUUGGGUAACACUAACUGGAGGACCGAACCGACUAAUGUUGAAAAAUUAGCGGAUGACCUGUGGCUGGGGGUGAAAGGCCAAUCAAACCGGGAGAUAGCUGGUUCUCCCCGAAAGCUAUUUAGGUAGCGCCUCGUGAAUUCAUCUCCGGGGGUAGAGCACUGUUUCGGCUAGGGGGCCAUCCCGGCUUACCAACCCGAUGCAAACUGCGAAUACCGGAGAAUGUUAUCACGGGAGACACACGGCGGGUGCUAACGUCCGUCGUGAAGAGGGAAACAACCCAGACCGCCAGCUAAGGUCCCAAAGUCAUG